rnacentral:rRNA from 1 species
GGCGUACGGGUGAGUAACGCGUGGGUAAUCUACCUUCGAAUUGGGGAUAACGUUGCGAAAGUGACGCUAAUACCGAAUAAUAUCAUAAGGACUUUGGUUCUUUUGAUCAAAGAUGGCCUCUCCUUGGAAGCUAUUGUUUGAAGAUGAGCCCGCGUCCCAUUAGCUUGUUGGUGGGGUAAUGGCCUACCAAGGCAGCGAUGGGUAGCUGGUCUGAGAGGAUGAUCAGCCACACUGGAACUGACACACGGUCCAGACUCCUACGGGAGGCAGCAGUGAGGAAUUUUGCGCAAUGGGGGAAACCCUGACGCAGCAACGCCGCGUGAGUGAUGAAGGCUUUCGGGUCGUAAAGCUCUGUCAAGUGGGAAGAACUUUCAUGGGGUUAAUAUCCUCAUGUUUUGACGGUACCACUGAAGGAAGCACCGGCUAACUCCGUGCCAGCAGCCGCGGUAAUACGGGGGGUGCAAGCGUUAUUCGGAUUUACUGGGCGUAAAGCGCGCGUAGGCGGCCGUUUAAGUCAGAUGUGAAAGCCCGGGGCUCAACCCCGGAAGUGCAUUUGAUACUAUUCGGCUUGAGUAUGGGAGAGGGAAGUGGAAUUCCUGGUGUAGAGGUGAAAUUCGUAGAUAUCAGGAGGAACACCGGUGGCGAAGGCGACUUCCUGGACCAAUACUGACGCUGAGGCGCGAAUGCGUGGGGAGCAAACAGGAUUAGAUACCCUGGUAGUCCACGCAGUAAACGGUGAUCACUA